UCCUAGGUAGUCCAGUAGUUAGGGCUCUGCGUUUCUACUGCAGAGGACACAGGUUUGAUCCCUGGUUAGGGAA
rfam:TPA: Bos taurus chromosome 13, whole genome shotgun sequence.